rnacentral:rRNA from 1 species
UACGCAGGGGGCUAGCGUUGCUCGGAAUCACUGGGCGUAAAGGGUGCGUAGGCGGGUCUUUAAGUCAGGGGUGAAAUCCUGGAGCUCAACUCCAGAACUGCCUUUGAUACUGAAGAUCUUGAGUUCGGGAGAGGUGAGUGGAACUGCGAGUGUAGAGGUGAAAUUCGUAGAUAUUCGCAAGAACACCAGUGGCGAAGGCGGCUCACUGGCCCGGUACUGACGCUGAGGUGCGAAAGCGUGGGGAGCAAACAGG